UGGGGAAUAUUGCACAAUGGGGGGAAACCCUGAUGCAGCGACGCCGCGUGAAGGAAGAAGUAUCUCGGUAUGUAAACUUCUAUCAGCAGGGAAGAUAAUGACAGUACCUGACUAAGAAGCCCCGGCUAACUACGUGCCAGCAGCCGCGGUAAUACGUAGGGGGCAAGCGUUAUCCGGAUUUACUGGGUGUAAAGGGAGCGUAGACGGAACGGCAAGUUUGAAGUGAAAUACCCGGGCUUAACCCGGGAACUGCUUUGAAAACUGUCGAUCUAGAGUGUCGGAGAGGUAAGUGGAAUUCCUGGUGUAGUAGUGAAAUGCGUAGAUAUCAGGAAGAACACCGGAGCGAAGGCGGCUUACUGGACGAUAACUGACGUUGAGGCUCGAAAGCGUGGGGAGCAAACAGGAUUAGAUACCCUGGUAGU
rnacentral:rRNA from 1 species